rnacentral:rRNA from 1 species
UACGUAGGGUGCGAGCGUUGUCCGGAAUUACUGGGCGUAAAGAGCUCGUAGGUGGUUUGUCGCGUUGUUCGUGAAAACUCACAACUCAAUUGUGGGCGUGCGGGCGAUACGGGCAGACUGGAGUACUGCAGGGGAGACUGGAAUUCCUGGUGUAGCGGUGGAAUGCGCAGAUAUCAGGAGGAACACCGGUGGCGAAGGCGGGUCUCUGGGCAGUAACUGACGCUGAGGAGCGAAGGCGUGGGGAGCGAACAGG